GAGGAAGUGGCUUAGUGGUAAAGUGCUUGCCUAGCAUGCAUGAAGCCCAGGGUUCGAUUCCUCAGUUCCACA
rfam:Dipodomys ordii contig_11877, whole genome shotgun sequence.